GGGUCAGUAGCGAAUCGGCAAACGCAACGGGCUGUAAACCCGUCUCCUUCGGGAAUAAUUGGAUCGACACCAAUCUGGCCCACCA
rnacentral:tRNA from 1 species